rnacentral:tRNA from 1 species
GAUCUUAUCGUCUAAUGGUUACGACAUUAACUUUUCAUGUUAAAAAUGUUGGUUCAAAUCCAACUAAGAUUA